rnacentral:tRNA from 1 species
GUACCUGUAGCUCAGCUGGAUAGAGCAAUGGCCUUCUAAGCCAUGUGCCCGGGGUUCGAAUCCCUGCAGGUACG